rnacentral:rRNA from 1 species
UACGAAGGGGGCUAGCGUUGCUCGGAAUGACUGGGCGUAAAGGGCGCGUAGGCGGCGAUCAAGGUCAGAUGUGAAAUUCCUGGGCUUAACCUGGGGGCUGCAUUUGAUACGUGGUGGCUUGAGUGCGGAAGAGGGUCGUGGAAUUCCUGGUGUAGCGGUGAAAUGCGCAGAUAUCAGGAAGAACACCCGUGGCGAAGGCGGCUCUCUGGGACGGUACUGACGCUGAGACGCGAAAGCGUGGGGAGCGAACAGG